UCAGGCGUCUCCUGCCUCUGGCCUGGUGUCCAUAUUAAAGAGGCGUCCUGUGUGUCUGGAAGACGUGAGUGAGAUCGGCUCAGAGCCCCGACCGGACAAAACCCCGGCCAAAAGACGCGUCCGCUUCAAAGUCCCCGAUGAUGGCUGUGAACAAGAUGUUGGCGGUGGAGACUCCUGCCUGCUACUCUUCCUGCUUUGUUUUGUUACCGUAGUGAUCAGUGUGGGUGGCACCGCCCUUUACUGUGCUCUGGGCGACGCCCACUCCACCGUCUGUCAGGACUUCUCCAGGAACGCAGACUUCUACGUCGCCCAGCUGCAGAGCGGGAUAUCUCAGAUCCAGCAUUGGUUGGCCCCCGGGUCAUAGCAGCAAACAGCUAGUCAACAUUAAGGAGCAGCAGGUCUCACUGUGGAUCUCUGGGGGUCCAGAAGCCCCUGCUGCUUCCUGGGACGAUGUUUUAUGAGGUCAGGGAGCCAGGCAGCUGCCACAGUCCCUGGCGCUGUGUGGAGCUAGCUGGUUGGCUAAUAUUACAUCAGAUUUUGGCAUUUUUAAGCCUGCUCUACUUCGUUUUUAAUACUCUUUGAAUACAAUCCCCGGGUUCGUUGAGCCUAAAAGUCUUUGGUGAGAUUUUUCUUUACUACAGAACUUUGAGAGUUAAAGUAGGGCAGAAGGAGAAAGAGGAGAACGCAGAGUGCUUUACAGAAGAGGAGGAACUGACCUGCACGCCUCUCAAUGCUGUCCACAUUAAAAAGGUUACUCAUUCUCGAGCUAAGUUUAGACAUUCAAGUGUCCUAUCGAACUAAGGUAACACGUGCACCGUCUGCCAGUGACACCUAAGUUUCUAAGGUCACUGAUAGUGAAAUCUACCAUGACUGGAUACAAACUUUUGCCGACUUCUCCAAGACUCAUCUCCCUCAGUUACAAAAAAGAACAAAAUUAAUGAGCUGCAAUCCAGGGUGAUGUUUAAAAAAAAAAAAAGUAUAUAUAAUAUAAAAGUAUAUAUAAUGUACAGUUUGUUGACUGGGGGCUCAGAUAUGUUCUACAAACACUGCACAAUGGGAAUGGCCCAAUGCGCAUUUUACAAACCUUUGCAGCCACUAGUGUUGCUUUUUAUUGUUGACUUUUUUAAUUCACACAUUUUCAAAUGAACAAAGCAUUUUGUGGUCAACUACUUGGAAUGAAAUCAUUAUGUCUUAAUCAAUCUGAAUGAAUGUUUGGAUUUGUAAUGUUAGACUUUGAUUUGUGUCACCUGUAGGGCAUUUAUGUAUUAUUCACAUGGGACAUGGGUCUCCUGUCUCCUGUACUGUUCUUUCUGCAGUGUGCUGACAUGGCUGCCAUGGAGACUCAAAGUCCAAACUCUACGUUUAUGGGUUUCAAUGAGCUAUUCUUAACUUUAUGUAGCAUAUGCAACAUGUACAGGAACACAGUGCACCUCUGUAUAUACUGUCAGAAGAAUGUUUAACAUGUUGCACAUAAUACUGGUACGAUUUAAAAAAAAAAAAAAAAGUAUUGCAAUAUUUCUACAGGAUCUGUUGUGUUGGUCCUGAGCGUAAUGCUGGCUUUAUUUCAUUUGAUCCGAAAAUAUCCAUUUCCACCAACUGUUUUCCGGGUCAGUGUGAGUUCAUGCCUGUUAUGCACAGAUAACUUGAACAGAAAAUAAUCUUAUGCGGGUCUGGUGAGGUUUGAGAUAUGUCUUAAAACAGUUGCAAACAAUUAGUGUAGGAAAUAAUAAUUACUCAUUGUACAUUUGAUAUUUGGGACGAUCGAUAUUUGAAGCUCUGUCUGCCUGUGUGUUUGCUCUUCUUAGAUUAUAGGCAUCACUCUCAAUAUGUGAUUGUCAAUGUUUACUAUUUGAUUUUUUCCCAAAUUAUUCUUUGCGCGCAGUGUCCUUAAAUAGUAAUCUAGUGAACAUUUGACAUUUCCGAUAAACAGUUGUCUGAUUUGUUUACAUCUGCUUGACCCGGUUUUCUAGACAAAGAGGUCCUUUCUCUUAGUGGAAAACUGAUUUCCUUAACAAGAGAAAAUACUUACUUUGUCCAUGAAUCAAAACCUUUAUUCACACACUAGUGCUUUAACUACUAUUUCUAAUCAUUUCAAGCAAUCUUUAUCAACCUUGCCUUUUUGCCUAAUUUCUACCUUUUUAUGUGUCAAUGUUUGGCGUCCAGUUAGUCAUCUUUCCUUUCGUGUGGAUGCAAUGAAAACUGCCCGUAUCUCAUAAAGGUCUUAAUUGUCAGGAUUUAAAUAAAAAGACUUACUUAUGCAUUCAGAACAGUUAACCUCUUGUUAUGGUGUGUCAUCUACAUAACCUGUACUAAGUUUGAGAUAGGAGUUUUUCCUGGGACAUCAGGAGUAGAUCGUUAUUUUUAUUUCGCACAUGUUGUCUGGCUGGUUCAGAUAACCAUCACUCAGAAAACGUCUUAUUUAAUCUUCUAGAUGAUUUUAAGUAUUUGUAAUACAAAGGAUGUGAAAUGGAGGUGGUUCAAAAAUGAAGGUGCCUCUUUUGCAUCUGUUGGUUUUUCUUGCUUGAUAAUCGUAAGCAGUUAUUUCAACUCUUGCAUCACCAUUGCUCUUAAGGAGCCUUCGACGGAAAAUUGAAUUUC